GUAGCUAUAAAGAGUAAAUUUACUAGUUUUCAAAGCUGACAAACAGUACUGCCCGGACAAAGAAAAAAAAGCACAAGAGCCAAGAUCUGUGUAUAUAUACUAUAUGUUAUAAAUUAGACCUGGUGUGACCUUAUUUUAGGGACUGAAAGCGAGAACGAAAGCAAUAUAGAAGGCAAAAAGUUCUCGUGAAAUACAAAGAACAUGUAAAGAAUAGCAAAAAAGUUACAUCGUGAGUUGCGUUCCUUGUUUGCAGGGUGUACUCAAUAACAACGCUACCUUAUCACUUCUUUCCUCCUCUUCCCUUGCCAAACAAAGCCAUCUAACUUUCUGCCUUUACCUUGCUGGUCCCAGAUCUUGCGUUUCUCUCCCUGAUUCGAAGCAGCAAGCUCUCUUUUCUCACUCUCACUCCAACGUCAAAACAAUUUCUAGGAGAUCAGAAAGAAGAGACAAUGGUGAAUGUUCAUGGCUUACAAGAUCAGCAGCCACCGAGUAGCACAGAGAAGCAGCAACAGAAACGUUUGAGGCACUCCUUUGAUAUGUUCUUUUCAAGCAAAAGAAAAGUUCCAAACGCUUCAGACCCUCUUCACAACCGCUGAGCCAAGUCUUUCUGUUAGUUCUCAAGAAGUAAUUACUCCUUGGCCUCUUUAGAAAUUGAAGAUCAAUUUUGUUGCUAGUUCUUGAAUUAGCUAGAGCUGCAAAAUGUGAAAGGAAGACCUUGAAGGUCACAUACUAGAUGCUGCAACCACAAUCCCACUAAUUAGUCUGCAUUUUGGCAAUGAUUGUGAUGGCUGAGAAUCGCUUGAAAGCUAGGAUGCAGUUCUAUGCUCGUAAAAUGUGUCUGUGCUUAAUUUCAACUCUAGCUGUUCUUGUUGUAGCUUGAUACCAAGUGUAUGUAAUUUAUGAAUAUAUUAACUAGUGAUCUAGAAACAAGUUCAACUUUUCUGUGAA